rnacentral:rRNA from 1 species
UACAGAGGGUGCGAGCGUUAAUCGGAAUUACUGGGCGUAAAGCGCGCGUAGGCGGCUUUGCAAGUCGGGUUUGAAAUCCCCAGGCUUAACCUGGGAACUGCAUUCGAGACUGCAUUGCUAGAGUAUGGGAGAGGGAAGUGGAAUUUCCGGUGUAGCGGUGAAAUUCGUAGAUAUUCGCAAGAACACCAGUGGCGAAGGCGGCUCACUGGCCCGAUACUGACGCUGAGGUGCGAAAGCGUGGGGAUCAAACAGG